GGGGAUGUAGCUCAGCGGUAGAGCGCACGCUUUGCAUGUGUGAAGCCCCGGGUUCAAUCCCCGACAUCUCCA
rnacentral:tRNA from 1 species